UGCAUCAGCUCCUGCCUCCAGGAUCCUGCCCUGUUUGAGCUCCUAUCCUGAGUUCUUGCAGUAAGGAAUAGUGCUGUGGAAAUAAACAUUUGUUAAGUCUCUAAGUGCACCAUACAGACAGUUAACUUGGGAGGAAGCCCUAUAGUGCUGUCUUCUGAAUCGACACCUGUAUCAAGUGAAUACGGAUUCCUCAACUAAAGCAAUUGUUCACAGACUGUUUCUAACUGGUGUCAAUAUUUUCUGGAGGUAAGCAAUGUUCUCCACAUCUCAGAAUUUACUGGAGAAGAUGUCAACGAGAGGAUGCACUUCUGCAUUGUUGGAAGAGGCCUUAUCUGCAGCAGCACAGCUGUGGCUUCUUUAGCUAGAUUUGUAUGACACAAUCAUUGGGCCACAGGCUGCUCACUGGAUAAAUGAGAGGUGGUGUUUUCGACACCAGUGGCAGUCUGGAAAAAUCUGAAACCCAGCUUAACUUUAUCUAAGAAAAUGAAGACUGGCUGAGAAGCAUAUGCUGGCUCAUUGGUCUUUCUUUUCAUUAAGUUUAGGCACCAAGACCUGAGCUGCAGUCCUGUGACGAUUCCUUCUUAAUUCACAGAACCUCUGCUGUCACUGAUCCCCAUGAAAACCAGGCAGCCAAAACCACAUGACCACAGCCACUCUAAGAAUCUACAGGGAUUUUGGUUUCUGACGUCCGUGUACAUAGGAAAGGAAUGUGAUGUGAACAUCAGUAAUACCUAACAGCUGGGGAUGUUCUCAAUCAACAGAGAGGAUGUCCAAAGGAGAGAGAUGAUUAUUAAAUGAAAAUAAAAUUAACCAUGGAGGCCAGGACUGACCUUUGACUGAGUUGGCAGCUGCAUCAGCAGAGAAACUCCCAGAGCUAUCUUCCCAGCAGCUGUGGUAGCUCUAGCUUCAAGUCGUGGAUGACUGCGUGGUUGUUAUUCUUUUGUUCUGGACUGUGUCUAUAUCCAAACAAGCUACAGAGGAGAGCUGAACAGCCACAGCAACACCCAUGGUCCCAGUCUCUUUUUAUGCCCCUCCCCAGUAAAAUGGAAGAGAGAGCACUUUUAGCUCCGCUGAGGCUUGAUGGAGAUAGUCUACAGGCAGAACUGGCCAUGGUGCUGAUGACUGGAGCCAAGAGGAUGAGGUCUACCACUGUUCAUAGCCACUGUUUCAAAUCUGAUGAAGCCUGUAGGCAUAAGGCUUUUGUGCACUGCGUAAAGGUUGUCCUUGUAUUAUUCAAAUGCUUAUUUCCCUGCCCUCAUUUCUUAUUUCAAUCUGGAUAUGGCAUUGUAAUGCUUAGGUCAAUAAACUACCCCCAGCCCUUCUUGUUUG